UCGAUAGUGCCGGUCUCCGGUGCCGCCACCUCAUCAAACAGUUUCCGGAUUUCGGAUAUUCCCGUUGCAACGUACCGCUUCCCAUCCAUGUCUAAAGUACAGAUCGCGUUCUCAGCGUAAAAACGCCAGACGUCGUGUGGCUCGUUGUACCAUUUGGUUAAAAAGCUUCCAACUAGCUGGUGGCCGGCCGCGUUGUCCAGUUCGUAGUCCUCGACCGAUCCCAAGCCAUCGCCGCCGCCGCUAGAAUUCAGCUCCUUCACAAAGGCACGAUGCUCGCGCCGUUCUUCUAGCGGCGGCGGGUCAGUCUGGACUUCGACGGUACUCGAUAAAGCGGGAACAAUAUCUCCGCCGCAACCGUUCGUCCACCAAGAUUUUCGGAAAACCGUUUGUCUCAUUAUAGUGUUACCCAUUUUUGUUUGAUUUUUAUUUGCUGAGUGAAUUAUAACGAUGUUACCUCCACGCAACGAAACAAUUGACAGAGCAGUCGACCGUUGUUAUUAUUGAAACUAUGGCACAACCUUUGGAAAAGUUAUUGGAAAAUUUAUAUUGGAAAAGUCAAAUCAAUGGUCCAGAUCUAGAAUGUUAGUAAUCAAAUAAGUAGGUAUACUAUGGACGUUGACACGUUGUAUGAUAGUAAUAUUAUAUAAUAAAUUCAAAGUGCUGCAGAGAAAUUUCAUUACUUAAAACUCAAAAACAAACCGUAAAAUAAAUCAAUUCCAUUACGAAAACAAUACCAUUACAAAGUUAUAAACGUUCAAGCAAGAUCCUAUACAUUAUUAUGUAUUAUACAUAAAUAGGUUUUAGCUAUGAGCAUUUCUAAAUCGAAAAAUAAGUAAAUUAAAAUUAUCUACUUAUACUAUACCCGAAAUAAUGCGUUAACGACCAACGUAAGUAGGUACAAUGUAAUAAUUUCGAGGAAAUGACCGACAUAAUAACAGACUUGGGUAGUAUUCUGAAUAUUUUUUUUUUAAGUAUUCAAUACGGUAUUUUGAAUACUUCUUACAAGUAUUCUGAAUACAGUAUUCGAAAUACUUUUUUAACGUCCAAUCACACUUAAAAAAUAAUUGUACUACUUUUUUCGUUAUUGAAGCUUUUGCACUUGUAUAUAACUAUAUAAAUAAAACGAGAUUAUUAUAAUAUUCAUUUAUAAACAAUGAAUUGAAAAAAAAUAUGUUUUUGUCAUUGAAAUCUAAAUCUACUAAAAAAAGUAUUCGAAAAAUAUUAUUAUAAAGUAUUUGGAAUAUGUAUUCAAAAUACUUUUAAAAUGUAUUUUACCCAAGUCUGUAUUUAAUUAAUAUAGGCAUACAUUCGGUUUUGCAGUCAUUAGUCACUCAACACCAACUCCAUUUUUAUUUGCUAAUGCAUAAACUCUAUAAUUUUUUCUAAAAAUUAUUUUAAAGUAGUUAUCGUAUAAAAUAAUAACAAAAUCGUUUACAGCGUUUUCCCUCAUUGACUCAGUAUUAAGGCUGACCAUUCAUGGCAAUUGAGGAAUAUG